GAUCUACUAGACUCUCUGCUCAGAAGAAUUUGGAGCAGAAGGAAAAAUGCCAGAUUCAAAUGAAAGCAAAGAGAUGUUCAACACCUGUCAUCAUCAGUGAAAUUCCACCUUCCAAGAAAAUGAAAGUGUCUCACAAUGAAAAGAAGCCAAAGGAAAAUGAAGACCGUGCUCAAGGUACUUCCAAAAAGAAUGGAUCUUCCCCAGAGAAAGCCAAGGGCAAACAUUCUUUGACUUGUGUGCCACCUCUAAGGCAGAAGGUUCUAAAAAGUACUGAGGAGCAAGAGUUAGAGAAAUCAUUGAAAAUGCAGCAGGAAGUGAUGGAGAUGCGGAAAAAAAAUGAAGAAUUUAAGAAGCUUGCUCUUGAAGGAGC